AGUUCUCAACUGCACUAGUUCUUUCUGGUGCAGCUUGGAUGUGGGGGUGUUUUUUGCAGGCUUUUCAAAGUCGGCUCCCCUGAAAUGCAUUAGUGGUCUCCUAGCAGAGAAACUGCUACAGGUGUGAUAAUUAUCUAUGCCUUUAGUACUCUGCAAGAAUGGAUUGCACUGCUUCUUAACAAGUGAAUCCCUGUUAUGGGGAGUGCACAUUUGACAA
rnacentral:misc_RNA from 1 species